CACGUAGGCGGAUAUUUAAGUCAGGGGUGAAAUCCCAGAGCUCAACUCUGGAACUGCCUUUGAUACUGGGUAUCUUGAGUAUGGAAGAGGUAAGUGGAAUUCCGAGCGUAGAGGUGAAAUUCGUAGAUAUUCGGAGGAACACCAGUGGCGAAGGCGGCUUACUGGUCCAUUGCUGACGCUGAGGUGCGAAAGCGUGGGGAGCAAACA
rnacentral:rRNA from 1 species